UGCGCCGCCGCCUCCGCCGCCUCCGCCUCCGCCGCCGCCGCCGCGCCUCCGUUCGCUGACUCGGAGAUUGCCGAAGAUGGCGGAAGCUCACCAAGCCGUGGCCUUCCAGUUCACUGUCACCCCAGACGGUAUCGACCUGCGGCUGAGCCAUGAAGCUCUUAAGCAAAUCUAUCUGUCUGGACUACAUUCCUGGAAGAAGAAGUUCAUCAGAUUCAAG